AGCAGCCGCGGUAAUUCCAGCUCCAAUAGCGUAUAUUAAAGUUGUUGCAGUUAAAAAGCUCGUAGUUGAAUUUCGGGAUUAGUACGCUGGUCAUGCCUUUGGUAUGUACUGGUGUUACUGGUUCCUACCUUCUGAAGAACCGUCAUGUCAUUAAUUUGGUGUGGCGGGGAAUCAGGACUGUUACUUUGAAAAAAUUAGAGUGUUUAAAGCAGGCUCGCGCUUGAAUACAUUAGCAUGGAAUAAUGAAAUAGGACGUUUGACCCUAUUUUGUUGGUUUCUAGGAUCGACGUAAUGAUUAAUAGGGAUAGUUGGGGGCAUUAGUAUUCAAUUGUCAGAGGUGAAAUUCUUGGAUUUAUUGAAGACUAACUACUGCGAAAGCAUUUGCCAAGGAUGUUUUCAUUAAUCAAGAACGAAAGUUAGGGGAUCGAAGACGAUCAGAUACCGUCGUAGUCUUAACCAUAAACUAUGCCGACUAGGGAUCGGAUGAUGUUAUUUUUAAUGUACUCAUUCGGCGCCUUAC
rnacentral:rRNA from 1 species